UUUCGGCCGAGCAGUUUCUGAGAACGAGUUCGUGAAAGAAAUUAUUACUUUCCAGUCCCCGCAUUCCCCCAUUUUGCAUAAUAUGCCAGAGCUUUGGAAAGUGGCUAAAUUUGUUCACCGAAUUCACCCUUAAAUUCAACGUGCAGCAGUGUAAUUCACCCCAUGUGUGGGGUUCUACAGUUCCCAUCGAAUUUCAUUGUAUAUAUAUUUCGGGAGCAGCUUACCCCCUUCAACAGAACAAAGCUUCAUGUCAAUUGUUAUAGUCGUUUCUGAGAAAACUGCGUAUAACAGACACACAGACAGCGACCCGAUUUCUUCAACAAAAACUUAAAAACCCCUUUGAUUACUAAGUGAAAGUAUAGAAGACGUGUGUUGUGGACUUUGCUCUCGUUUGAUUAUAUCGAUUUUGGUUUGAUAUCUAACGAAAUAUCGAGGUCGCAUUAAGUGAAAACACAACUAAUCGUCAAUCGUAAUCCUCAAUCAACAGAAUAGAAUAGUAAGAAUAUGCAAUCCUGUAAGUAUCCUCAAAAUAGGGUUCUUUCGACAUAGAAGUUGUACUAAUUUGUUGGAUUGGCAGUUGUUUAAAAGACAAACUUUUGUUAAUAGGGAUUAUAGGACAAGUAGCCUCCCAGUCUUUCCACAAUGCCUAAGAAAUUACGAUAAGUCGAAUGUGAUUGUUGCCGGGAUAGGAUCUAAGAGAUUUGAGUGAAUAUUUUAGGAAAGAGAUUUUGGGAUUAAUUACUUUUCUUCAUUUUAAUUCUAGCCAAGACGUUGUUCUACCCAAUCCCUGCGCAUCUCAUUGUGGUAGUCUCCUAGCCAUUGCUUAAUUAAUUCCUAUGUGCCUGCUGCAAAGUUAUCGUGAAUAAAACUUCCUAACACCACGAUUUGAUUCGAAUGCUAUUAAAGACCGACGACGUUUUUCCGAAUGCAGUCUCGCCCAUAAUAUUGAUAUUCUUUCAAAAUUAUGGGUUGGAAAAGCAUUCCUAGAUGUAAAGAACUUACCAGAAAUAAGCUCGACUUCUGCGCCGCAAUUCGAAUUUUUUCAUCUUUCCAGAAGA